UACGUAGGUGGCGAGCGUUGUCCGGAUUUACUGGGCGUAAAGGGCGUGCAGGCGGUUUGUUAAGUGCAGGGUGAAAGCUCCCGGCUCAACUGGGAGAGGUCCUUGCAUACUGGCGAACUCGAGGGAGGCAGAGGAAAGUGGAAUUCCCGGUGUAGUGGUGAAAUGCGUAGAUAUCGGGAGGAACACCAGUGGCGAAGGCGGCUACCUGGCCCAUUCUUGACGCUGAGGCGCGAAAGCUAGGGGAGCGAACGGG
rnacentral:rRNA from 1 species